rnacentral:rRNA from 1 species
AGUGAACGCUGGCGGUAGGCCUAACACAUGCAAGUCGAACGGAAACACAGUAAGAGCUUGCUCUUACGGGUGGCGAGUGGCGGACGGGUGAGGAAUACAUCGGCAUCUACUUUUUCGUGGGGGAUAACGUAGGGAAACUUACGCUAAUACCGCAUACGGCCUACGGGUGAAAGCAGGGGAUCUUCGGACCUUGCGCGAUUGUAUGAGCCGAUGUCGGAUUAGCUAGUUGGCGGGGUAAAGGCCCACCAAGGCGACGAUCCGUAGCUGGGCUGAGAGGAUGAUCAGCCACACUGGAACUGAGACACGGUCCAGACUCCUACGGGAGGCAGCAGUGGGGAAUAUUGGACAAUGGGCGCAAGCCUGAUCCAGCCAUACCGCGUGGGUGAAGAAGGCCUUCGGGUUGUAAAGCCCUUUUGUUGGGAAAGAAAAGCAGCAGGUUAAUACCCCGCUGUUCUGACGGUACCCAAAGAAUAAGCACCGGCUAACUUCGUG